rnacentral:lncRNA from 1 species
CUCCCUUAUAGAUAUUUGCUGGCUCCGCCACUGGCUCGUACUCGUACCACACCGUGGGAAGGUUAUGGGCAAGGUGGUUGAGCUUGAUGCCAAUGAGUUGGAGGUUAUUGCUUUGGCGACGCCGAAGGCCGUUCACGCGAAGAGGAGAUGUGCUUGGUGACGAGAAGUCUUAGACCACCGGUGAGUUUUGCUUCCUAUCAGUUCAGCAAUGUGUGUACAUGUUCAGAAUUGUUGGCUAUAAACACUUGAAUUAUCUCCAAUCAUGUACUUCAGGUUCUACCAUCUUCCAUAUUUACCAUGUUUUGUCACUUAACAAAAUUUACAUAACUAUUUUGUGUAUGUAUGCAAAAUUCUGGUUUAGAAACUUAAUGCAGAAUUAUGAACAAAAUUAUCAUUCAGUAUUAAGAAUUUACAUUUAUCAUAAGAAAUGGCAAACUCAUAGGUAUUUCAAUAUAGAAAUUACAAUGCAAUGUUCAGGGAAGAUGGCGAGCUUCUAAUUAGCGGUAACUUUAUUCUGUUGAAACCGAAAGAUAUGGAUGAGCCAUGAUAAUGAGUGUUAGGGGGUUGGACGGCACGACGUAAAAAUAUAUCAUUUUUACUAAAUAACUUCAUUUUCCGCAGAAACUUCCUUGCACUAAACUUACAAUAUUGGCUUCUCCAGAUGUACAUAAGCUAUUAGCUCUUAGCUCUAUUUAAUUCCACUCAUAUUUACGGAAGUGCUCUUUUGAUCCCGAGUUCACAAUCUCCCUGAUGAACAGUAAAAUCCAAAAACUUAGUUAAAGAAUUCAAAAAAAUUCUGGAUUUAAACAUCGAUGAAAGUUUUAACUUCCUGCAAAUUUUGGAGAUGAAAUAACAUUGGUGGAAGUCUGGACAAAAAGAAAAAAACCGAUGCUCCAAAAUGCUUCCGAGAACAAAUCUUUUGGAGCGUCGAUUUUUUUGCCCAGACCUACACGAAUGUCAUUUCAUCAAAAGCAUUUGCAAGAAGUUAAAACUUUCAUAAUUUUUAUAAAAAAAUCAGAUUAUUUUAUAUUUUUUACUGUGUUUUUGGAUUUUACUGUUCAUCAAGGAGCAUGUGAGCUCGGGUUCAAAUACUCCACGUCUUCACAUUUAUUCCUAUUCUCCUUUUGUCAUUUUUUACAUCUAGGCAUAUAGUGUUUUGCUGUGUCUCAAAGUUUUACCUUUUUAAAAGUGAUAUGUGUUUAUAUUUUAUGGAUGUUUUUGUUGCUGGUAUAUAUUCUCAAGUGAUAAUCAUCAUAUCUUGUCAAUCUCUAUGUUAUGAGAGGUAUAAAAAUAUAAUCGGAUCUAAAUUUGAUAGUAUGCUACCUUGGCCAAUAUACUGCAUCAUGUGAGUGCUGCAAGGUUGCACCUUGGAGCUCAAAAUUUGGUGUCUUCGCAUUGAAGGAUCCAAUCCAUCGACUUUGGAGUUUGAACAUGUCACUUGUGAUGGGGAGAGGAAGAGAUGACUUGCAUACACUGGACAAUGAGUGUGUUAGCAGCGUGGUGGCUCAGGACUGUACAAGUUGUAGUAGCCCCUUCCCUUAUAAAUGUUUUGUUUUGAUUGGAAGCACCUUAUAAUUUAGCUAAUAUAUGGAUUUCAUUUACAUCGUCUGUCCAAGUAUGCGAGGCCCAUGAGACGGGCAUUAAUCACUUCUCUUUUUUGUCAGUAUUUUGAUAGGGGACCUAUGUAUAUGGAAGGAGUUAGUAUCAUGUAAAUCGUAUCACCAAUUUAAGGAUCCUCAUGUUUUCUUACUUUUCAACACUUAUUUGUGAUUUUGUUCACAAGUUUUCAAUUUCAUUCUGUAGAAUGAAGAUAAUAUUUUUGUUGUAUUUGUCCAUGUAGAGGAUGCAAGACAUCAUAUUAAG